rnacentral:lncRNA from 1 species
GAGAAAGCACUUAAGGAUGCUUGCUUGGGAGUGGAGAGGGGAGGACGAAUAUCUAAUGGAUUUUUUAUUGCUCGUCAGCCUUUUAGACUUCUGUGCCCCUGCUCCCCCCACUGCAUUCAGAUAUUAAUGGUCCUUUCCUUCCCCCCCCACCUUUCCUCCCAGAUGCUAUUGCUAAAAUUUGCUUGCUUUUAUUUCUGAAAUGUUCAACAGUUUGCUCUGCUCUGACUUCCUCUUAUCCUCCCCCACUCUUCAUUUCCUUGCUGACUCUGCUCUUUUGUUGCUGGAGAAUGAGAAUAAAAACCAGGAGCUUCAAGAAGGAAUUUCAAUAGUGUGAAUUUCGCUCGACUACAAAUGGUUUGUGGAUCUUUUCCAGCCACACUUCAAGAGAUUUGCUUCCCUAGGGGACUCCGAUGUUUACACUGACAAGGGAGACUCCUUGCUCGCCCCGUCUGCCUGCUGUAAGCACACAAACCCGNCCUUGCAGCCGGCGAAGUCCUUCUCUCAGCCAAGCAUUCGCCCGCCGAGAACUCGAGAACAAAGCGAAGCUCCUACUUCUGUUUCUACCGGAGNCUUUGAACUGACUGCCGAAGCAGCCGCCCACCGCCACAGCUGGUGUGGAAGCAGGCCUGUAGCCACCCCCCACCAUUUUUUGCCCUCCCCCAGAAAGCUUGUCCUGNGUAUUUUUUUCUAUUAUACUAAUGUAGAAUGGUUACAGAAAAAAUGUGACAUAUUACUCAUUCANCCCCAAAUUUGUGACAGCCCACUCCAGAUAUGGAGCUGGCUACGGGCCU